rnacentral:rRNA from 1 species
UACGUAGGGUGCAAGCGUUUGUCCGGAAUUAUUGGGCGUAAAGAGCUCGUAGGCGGUUUGUCGCGUCUGCUGUGAAAACCCGAGGCUCAACCUCGGGCCUGCAGUGGGUACGGGCAGACUAGAGUGCAGAAGGGGCAACUGGAAUUCUCGGUGUAGCGGUGAAAUGCGUAGAUAUCGAGAGGAACACCUGCGGCGAAGGCGGGUUGCUGGGCUGACACUGACGCUGGAGGCGCGAAAGCUAGGGGAGCGAACGGG